rnacentral:rRNA from 1 species
AUACGGAGGGUGCAAGCGUUAUUCGGAAUCACUGGGCGUAAAGGACGCGUAGGCGGGUUGGCAAGUCAGAUGUGAAAUCCUACAGCUUAACGGUAGAACUGCAUUUGAAACUGCUAACCUAGAGUAUGGGAGGGGGAGAUGGAAUUAGUGGUGUAGGGGUAAAAUCCGUAGAUAUCACUAGGAAUACCGAAAGCGAAGGCGAUCUCCUGGAACAUAACUGACGCUAAGGCGUGAAAGCGUGGGGAGCAAACAGGAUUAGAAACCCUAGUAGUCC